rnacentral:rRNA from 1 species
GGUCCACCGUGGCAUCACGGGGAGAUUAAAGGUGGGGAUCUUUCGGGACCUGCCGCCUGGAGAGGAGCCCGCGUCCCAUCAGCUUGUUGGUGAGGUAACGGCUCACCAAGGCUUACGGGUAGCUGGUCUGAGAGGAUGGUCAGCCACACUGGGACUGAGACACUGCCCAGACUCCUACGGGAGGCUGCAGUCGAGGAUCAUUCGCAAUGCGCGAAAGCGUGACGAUGCGACGCUGCGUGGAGGAUGACGGCCUUCGGGUUGUAAACUCCUGUCAUGAGGGAAAAGUCGUCCGGCCGUGAAUACCGGUUGGGCUCGUUGGUACCUCAAGAGGAAGCCACGGCUAACUCUGUGCCAGCAGCCGCGGUAAUACAGAGGUGGCGAGCGUUGUUCGGAUUUACUGGGCGUAAAGCGUGCGUAGGUGGUCUCGUGUGUCGGACGUGAAAUCCCGCCGCCCAACGGCGGAACUGCGUUCGAAACUGCGGAACUAGAGUGCAGGAUGGGAGAGCGGAAUUCUUGGUGUAGCGGUGAAAUGCGUUGAUAUCAAGAAGAACACCGGUGGCGAAGGCGGCUCUCUGGAAUGUUACUGACGCUGAGGCACGAAAGCUGGGGGAGCAAACAGGAUUAGAUACCCUGGUAGUCCCAGCCGUAAACGGUGCGCACUUGGUGUUGGAGGUAUUGACCCCUUCAGUGCCGGAGCUAACGUUUAAGUGCGCCGCCUGGGGAGUACGGCCGCAAGGCUAAAACUCAAAGAAAUUGACGGGGGCCCGCACAAGCGGAGGAGCAUGUGGCUUAAUUCGAUGCAACGCGAAGAACCUUACCAGGGCUUGACAUGCAGCUGCACGCCCCGUGAAAGCGGGGAAGCCUUCGAGGGUGCUGCACAGGUGCUGCAUGGCUGUCGUCAGUUCGUGCCGUGAGGUGUUGGGUUAAGUCCCGCAACGAACGCAACCCCUGUGUCUAGUUGCCACCGCAGGUGAUGAGCCUGCGAGCACUCUAGACAGACUGCCCGUACAAGCGGGAGGAAGGUGGGGAUGACGUCAAGUCAGUAUGGCCCUUACGCCCUGGGCUGCACACGUGCUACAAUGGCCGGUACAGAGGGACGCAAUACCGCGAGGUGGAGCAAAUCCCCAAAGCUGGCCCCAGUUCGGAUUGGAGUCUGCAACUCGACUCCAUGAAGUUGGAUUCGCUAGUAACGGCGUAUCAGCUACGGCGCCGUGAAUACGUUCCCGGGCCUUG